AUGCCAGUUUUUCUGUGGUUUGUGGGCGGGACUGCGAGGAUUUUCCAAGCGAUGUGGCCAUUACGGCUCCAGGCUCUGGCGGGAAUACCGCUGAAAUGCGUCGAGAGCCAGAGCCAAGAUGGCAGUCGGUGUGCAGUUUCACAUAACGCUCUUCACUCAUUUCUCCCAACAGCCGCCCCAGCGUCGGGACGGGGUUUACAGAACAAAAUGUCCUUCUGGAGACUGGAGCGUGUACUAUCCAGAGAAUCAUCUGAUGUAAUGGAGGAAAUUGUUCUUGUGUCUUUGAGAAUGCAUACACAAGGAACAUAUGUUAAUAAAAGAAAAUUGAGAGGUAAUAUCACCUUAAGAAUAGUUGAAAUUCAUCAUGUCAUCCUAAACAACAAAGCCACAAGCUGCAUGCCAAGCAUACUACAUAAAAUCAAAGUCAGUAGUAUUUUAUUGGUGGCCUGUGUGGCUAUUAUAAUUUUAAAUACAGUUUAACUGCAUUCAUUCUUUUUAGGAAGAAAAAGAAUUGUGUUUUAAGGAAAAAAAAAUAACAUGAAAGCUUAAACCCAGAAAAGAGGAAAUGCUAGCAGAGGAACAAAAUUUUAGUAAGAAUAUGUAGUGUUUUGUAGAGUUUUAUAUAUUAAUAUUCCUACCUAAUAUUCAGUAUGGUUUUGGAACACUGCAUAUAUUAUAAUAUCCUUGGGAAAAAAGGUUACAAAAUAUGAUGGGUAACUACUACUUUUUACACAUGAAUGGAUGGAUGAAUUUCUGUUAAUCCCAGGGGGAAAUUCUACUCCACUGCAGCAGUGCUUCAAUUUAAAAUGAAAUUUUACUGACGAUUGUAACGAAAUUACUAAAUGUAAUUACUCAAGAUUGCGGUUGUAAACUAAAGCUGCUGACCUCUUCAGCAAUGACCUGGCCAGUUUGGUAACACUGUGGUUAAACAUUCACUAUGUACUGUAUUUGGAGAGAUACCUAUGUUGCAGUGCGUGGCCUUAUUGAAGUGUCUCAUGAGCGCAGAAAACGGGAGACCUACAAACACACACAGCGUUAUCUAUCACACGCUUGCUGCCCCCCCCCCCCAGCCCCCCAACAGCACCACUCCGCGCGCGUUUAGCGCUAAGUAACUGUUGCCCAGGUUCUCUUUCGAAAAGGAAUUUCAUAGGCUGAGACGGCGGAGCGCUCGAUGUGAUUGGUCAGAAGUUUUUCCGCUCGCUUUAACACUUGCGGGAUGCCGCUCCCCCCACCACGCUAAAUAGACUUUGCGGUUUAAUUCAACACACACUCAAGCGCGCAACGUGCAGGGGAGCGACGCGCGGCCGCGCCGGACUGUCGCACGGAUCAAGAAGAAGCGAUGCGCCCUGAAACGGCCAAUUAGAACCGAGAGAACUUUGCGGUCUCGGAGCGCCGGUCCAAGACGAGUCGGACACCGAGCAGCCAGCCAGCCAGUCAGUCAGUCAAUCGAUCAAUCGAUCGAUCGGUCCACGAAAAAGGC
rnacentral:lncRNA from 1 species